rnacentral:rRNA from 1 species
AUGCAUACUGACACUACCACCACCACCAUCCCCAAGGCCACGGCGGAUGACACCAAACUUUGGACUACCAGGAACUACAUCCUGGCGGCGCUCGGCGGGACCCUAGUCGUCACCGCCAUCAUCAUCAUCGUCUCUGUCGUCCUCGGCCCCGCGCACAUCAGCUUCUACAUCGUCCACGCCUCGAGCACCGAUCCCAGAGCCAGCAACGACGGCACCCAGUACCUGAACCUCACCAUUGCCGCCGCAAACGGCAGCCGGAAGCGUGCGGCGGUGCGGUACCAGAGCGUCUUCGUCGACCUCAAGAACAGCACGAGCGUGACCAGGCGGAACACGAUCCACGCCCCAGUCUACGCGACCACGCCACCGAUGAACCAUUACCUGCCGCCGGGAGCGGAGCCGGCGAGCAUCAAAGCGUCGGCGCUCCUGCUGACGAGGGGCGAGAACCAGGACUUCAUCGGCCGCCGGGUGAACGUCAGCGGGUUCAAUGUGGUGGUGACGGCGCUGGUCCGGUUCCGGAUCCACGGAGUCCCCACGAGGGCGUACGACAUCAAGGUCUCGUGCAAUCACGUCUUUUUCCCGGUAGAAGGGCCAUCCAGCCUCCGCGCGCCGCCAAUCAAUUGCACUGCUUAUUAA